rnacentral:rRNA from 1 species
GAUGAACGCUGGCGGCGUGCCUAAUACAUGCAAGUCGAGCGAACAGACGAGGAGCUUGCUCCUCUGACGUUAGCGGCGGACGGGUGAGUAACACGUGGAUAACCUACCUAUAAGACUGGGAUAACUUCGGGAAACCGGAGCUAAUACCGGAUAAUAUAUUGAACCGCAUGGUUCAAUAGUGAAAGACGGUUUUGCUGUCACUUAUAGAUGGAUCCGCGCCGCAUUAGCUAGUUGGUAAGGUAACGGCUUACCAAGGCAACGAUGCGUAGCCGACCUGAGAGGGUGAUCGGCCACACCGGAACUGAGACACGGUCCAGACUCCUACGGGAGGCAGCAGUAGGGAAUCUUCCGCAAUGGGCGAAAGCCUGACGGAGCAACGCCGCGUGAGUGACGAAGGUCUUCGGAUCGUAAAACUCUGUUAUUAGGGAAGAACAAAUGUGUAAGUAACUAUGCACGUCUUGACGGUACCUAAUCAGAAAGCCACGGCUAACUACGUG